rnacentral:misc_RNA from 1 species
GUGCAUGAAGCAUCCCACACUUGUAGCCUUUGAGAAGGGUUAUUGUAUGCAACCUUACCCUUGCUUUGCCAAGAGGAUGUUUUCGUGGUUCGAACUUGUGACCUAAGUAACUUUAUUGAUACACCAAAGUCACCCUUUGUGGAUGAAUGCUUAUUCAAAAUUUAUUAAUUUAUAUAUUAGACAGAGCAAGAUUUUCUAAGAACAUAUGAUAAAUCCCAUGCAUGGGUGAGUUAUAGUGGAGGAAAUAUUAAGC